CUGGUGUUCACGCCCUACAAAAAAGAUAAGUCAGGCCCAAACUCUAGCCUGUCUUGCAUCUACAGGCCUAUGGAAGCUCCAUAGCAUCCCCCUGCUCUUAACCCAAACCUUUAUCUCUGCUUUGCUGACUCCUCAUCCCACUGCAGGUGCCGGCACCACACCGCAUGACUGCAGUGGCCGUGUCAACGUGGCGCUGCUGACACAGUGAGCACAAAAUGGCCAAGGAAACCAUUUUCAGACCAGCAACCCGGUGAGCGGGGCUGUGCAGGGGAGGGCAGAGCAGAGAAGCAGGGCAGGAGGCUGCUCCUUUCGUCCUUCCUCUCUGCACUGCAGAUGGGUGUCUACUCCAAGAUGGAACCAGAGCUGGACAUGCGCCUGUCCUCAGCUCUCUAACCGGUCUCCAUGCCAUACCAGACAGAUAAGUCAGCCAGAAACGGUAUCCUUCGUAGGCCCGAAGGGCCCCUAACUGCUCCCCAAGACACCCCUGCCCUCACCCCAACAGUUGAUAUUAGUUAGCUGAGCAGGGGAC
rnacentral:lncRNA from 1 species